CAAUAGCGUAUAUUAAAGUUGUUGCAGUUAAAAAGCUCGUAGUUGAAUUUCUGGUGGGCGCGCCGGUCUUCCAAGUGUUGUACUGGGCGCAGUCCGCCAUCCUUGUGGAGAGGGCUCGCAUUGAGUUGCGUGUCGGACCUGCAUCAUUUACUGUGAAAAAAUUAGAGUGUUUAAAGCAGGCUGUCGCUUGAAUACAUUAGCAUGGAAUAAUAAGAUAGGACUUCGGUCUAUUUUGUUGGUUGCGAACCGAGGUAAUGAUUAAUAGGGAUAGUUGGGGGUAUUCAUAUUUAAUUGUCAGAGGUGAAAUUCUUGGAUUUAUGAAAGAUGAACAACUGCGAAAGCAUUUACCAAGGAUGUUUUCAUUAA
rnacentral:rRNA from 1 species